UACAGAGGAGCCAAGCGUUGUCCGGAUUUACUGGGCGUAAAGAGCGCGCAGGCGGCUGGGCAAGUCCGAUGUGAAAGCUUCCGGCUUAACUGGAAAAUUGCAUCGGAAACUGCUCGGCUUGAAGGUGGGAGAGGGUAGCGGAAUUCCCGGUGUAGUGGUGAAAUGCGUAGAGAUCGGGAGGAACACCUGUGGCGAAGGCGGCCGACUGGGCCGACCCUGACGCUGAGGCGCGAAGGCGUGGGGAGCGAACGGG
rnacentral:rRNA from 1 species